rnacentral:lncRNA from 1 species
CUGGGUAGCAGCCUCUGUGAUUUGCCUCUUCCUGACUAGGAAAACCUGUAAGCUGACAAAGAAGUAUAUUUAAAUUGACCUCCAGCCGCCUGCUCUGCCUGGGGGAUCAUACUCCUGUCAGCCGCCUGCCCUGCCCAGGGGAUCAUACUCCUGUCAGCCACCUGCCCUGCCUGGGGGAUCAUACUCCUGUCAUAGCAGUUGAAGUUGCCCCUCUUCUGCCAAAGUCUUUCCUGGUAUCCAGUUGCAAUGAGUCAUCCCUUUCUUCUGGGUGUCCACAGUUUGUUCUUCUGCUUCAGUUAUACCAUUCAGCUCAUUCUUGUUUUUCUUUUUAUUGGAAUUAUGUGUGGACUUCUAUCUUCCAAAAGCCUAGAAGCUGAGGGCUGGGUCUUUGUUCAUCUUUGUGUGCCCCAUUGCACAUGGAAUAAUACUUGGAAUACAAGGCCGGCAACACCAUACAAGCUCAGUGAAUAUAUUUAUGUCAUGCUUCAAUAAACUAAUGAUAUUUUAUAAUUUAUUUUUUGUCAUCUCUCUUAAUUUCUGUGGAUGGAAAGGUAAGAGAUAGAGUGGCAUAAUGAGCAUGCUAAGAGAAGAAUUUUACUUUUGUGUUGAGAGAGGUAUUUUUCUUACAUUUAUCUUUAGAGCCACAUGUUAAUGGGGGAAAAUGCACAAUUCUAUGUGUUUAUAUUAAACUUUUUUGAAAUGUGUUCUGGAUUUUCUUGACAUUUAAAUAAAGAUAUUAUA